UACGUAGGGGGGCAAGCGUUGUCCGGAUUUAUUGGGCGUAAAGAGCUCGUAGGCGGCUUGGCAAGUCGGGUGUGAAAACUCCAGGCUCAACCUGGAGAUGCCACUCGAGACUGCUAUGGCUAGAGUCCGGUAGGGGACCACGGAAUUCCUGGUGUAGCGGUGAAAUGCGCAGAUAUCAGGAGGAACACCGGUGGCGAAGGCGGGUCUCUGGGCCGAUACUGACGCUGAGGAGCGAAAGCGUGGGGAGCGAACAGG
rnacentral:rRNA from 1 species